UUUUUAUGGCACUGAAAUAAUGUAGGACAAUGGCAUGUCGAACACCUUCAAUUCAGUAUGCAGUGAUGUAUUUAUAUAUACCUUAUAUUCUUCUAGCAAGAGGAGAGAACUGCCCUCAAUCUAUUCCAACUGUAGCCGUUGUGGAUGACUGUCCCCAAAAUGCCGUAGAAUGGGUAAAGAGGAUGGAGUUAAAAAAAUGUAAUUUUAUCAACCAGAACUGUACUACGCUUGAUAAUUUUGAAUAUCAUUGUCUCACAAACAAGUUUCAACACAUAUUUGUAGAAGUAUGCGCGCCCAACAAGAUGAUUGUAGGUCAAAAUUGUCCAUAUUAUGAUGUGCAACAUAAUUCCAUUAAUUAUAACCUCAACCAACCGUGUAAGGAGCACAAAAAACCAUGUCCGUCUGUGUACACAUCCAGUUCGGUAUAUCUUUAUCAAGAAUGUUACAAUGAAGCUCGAAAUAGCAAGGCGCACAGCAACGACAAUCUCCGAAACGAAGAUAGUUCAGUACCAGGUCUUGAUUUACAUUUGCUGGCCUAAAAAGAGUUCAAGACUCAAACAGAUGUGCAAUGCAAUUCAGCAACGUAUGCUUGGGAAAUCUCCUUUGACGAAUGAUGAAGAAAGCGAGGAAUUAAAUGCAAACCAACCGGAAACUACAACGGAAGUAUCAACCGAUUAACAGAAAUGUACUUAACUUCCGAGAUGAAACGAGCGCCAGGAAAAAAAAAUGUUGUUAUGCAUAUUUUACCUAAAAACUCAUUAAUGCAUGACCAUUAUUUCCUCAAAAUACAAGUACUAUCUCAUCAAUAUAGUAUUUAUUGUUCAAAAUGUGUAGUAAAUGUCUUAAAGUGAAUACGUUGGGUUACAGAAUUGUUCGUGAUUUUAGAUCCAAAGACUCCAAACAUUAUAUUUUACAAUUGAAUGUUCAUUCCAUAACAUCUAAAGACAGUUACUUGUUACUUAUAUGAAUAACAAAUACAGGCAUUUUUGAAAUGAGAAAUUUCCGUUUUUAUGGGAAAAUCUAACAUUACAAAUUUCUAGGAGAGUCAUUCCUUCAUCAAAACCACAAGGUUCAUGUAAGAUUUGUUUAUGAAUAUCCAUUUAUUGGUUUGUUGUUAUAAUUUUUGAUUGUUUUUGCAAGCCCAUCUCUUUUUCUUAUUUUCGUAUUAUAUUCCCAUCUAUUAUUUUAUUAACUAAACAUGACCUUUUUUUUAUUUUACCUUUUCCUUGCAUUUUUAAACCAAAAAUCUCUAAAUACAAAAUUAAUAUUUACUUAAAAACAGAGUAGCAUAUAUUUUACACAUAUUUAAGGAGGCAUUGCGCAUCUAGUAUAAUACAGUUGAAUUAUACUUCUUAUAAGGUUUUUUCGAUAUCACUUAUAAAAUUGAACACAAUAAAUAAAAUUCAGAUAAAAAUAUUUAUAUUUUUUAAGGAAUCUUUUUUUUAAAACGAUUUUUCCGUUGUUGGGCAGGGGAGGGUUGCCAUUGCACUUUUCUGACGUUAUGAUAAAUGUAAGCUUUUUAGGAGUAUUUUAUAGGAAAUAACAUAAAAGAAAAAGUAAAUAUUGUAUGCCGUUGAAAUUUUAUAUACAGAAUGAUGCUAUCCUCGAGGACAUUUUCCUUAUUUUUUGAAUGAAUCCAUUUUACCAAUCUUCAUUCGUAAUGCUCCACAUAUAUAGCAACAUUUGGUGCAUUUUAAUAUUUUGAGAUGGCCCCCACUUAAAACCAGACGGUAGAAUUUAGUAUUCUUUACAUACUAGGUAGGAAAUGAUUGUACUAUUCAUAUAAAAUAAUUUGAGAGAAAAAGCUAUUGUAGUAUUUUAUAAAAUAUGCUUGGAUGUGCGGAAAAUUACAGUUUCCUAUAUAUUCCUAUAGUAAAUGUACCUCUAAAUUGAGAUGGUUCCUAAAAAGAACCAGACGGUCGAUUUUCUUGAAAGUUCGCAAAUAAACUAGAGUUGGUUUAUAUUACAUAUGGUGAAACAAUAAAGAGUUUUGCUAUUGUAGUUUUUCCGCACAAAAAAACAAGUCGGCCUCCGUAAUGUUUAAGAAAAAAUCUUACACUUAAAAAACAGAAAAAAAAUGAUUUCACAUUUUUGUAAUGAAAUAAAAAACAAAAUGAAUACUCGUAUAUUUUCUACAUUUAUCCAUUUGACAGUUUGUUAUUGUCAUUUUUCAUUACUAAAAUAAAUGUAAUUGACGUUC
rnacentral:misc_RNA from 1 species